UGGGGAAUAUUGCACAAUGGGCGCAAGCCUGAUGCAGCCAUGCCGCGUGUGUGAAGAAGGCCUUCGGGUUGUAAAGCACUUUCAGCGAGGAGGAAGGUGGUGAACUUAAUACGUUCAUCAAUUGACGUUACUCGCAGAAGAAGCACCGGCUAACUCCGUGCCAGCAGCCGCGGUAAUACGGAGGGUGCAAGCGUUAAUCGGAAUUACUGGGCGUAAAAGCGCACGCAGGCGGUUUGUUAAGUCAGAUGUGAAAUCCCCGGGCUCAACCUGGGAACUGCAUUUGAAACUGGCAAGCUAGAGUCUCGUAGAGGGGGGUAGAAUUCCAGGUGUAGCGGUGAAAUGCGUAGAGAUCUGGAGGAAUACCGGUGGCGAAGGCGGCCCCCUGGACGAAGACUGACGCUCAGGUGCGAAAAGCGUGGGGAGCAAAACAGGAUUAGAUACCCUGGUAGUCCACGCUGUAAAACGAUGUCGAUUUUGGAGGUUGUGCCCUUGAGGCGUGGCUUCCGGAGCUAACGCGUUAAAUCGACCGCCUGGGGAGUACGGCCGCAAGGUU
rnacentral:rRNA from 1 species